UACGGGGGGGGCAAGCGUUGUUCGGAAUUACUGGGCGUAAAGGGCUCGUAGGCGGCCAACUAAGUCGGAUGUGAAAUCCCCAAGCUUAACUUGGGAACUGCAUCCGAUACUGGAUGGCUUGAAUCCGGGAGAGGGAUGCAGAAUUCCAGGUGUAGCGGUGAAAUGCGUAGAUAUCUGGAGGAACACCGGUGGCGAAGGCGGCGUUCUGGACUGCAACUGACACUGAAAAACGAAAGCCAGGGGAGCAAACGGG
rnacentral:rRNA from 1 species